AAUAUAUAUACCAGAAGAACUACUCUAGGGAACAUGACUUCCAUCAUUUCUACCAUCUCUCUCUAGUUGAAAAAAGGUACAAUUACAUUGGGUGACACAUCUGCAGCAGCUUUGGCAACCAUAUACUUCCUCUGCUCUGGGUUGUCAAUACCACGUGAUUCAUAAUCUUCAAUAGCUUUUUCUUCAACCUUGUCUUUUUUUUUUUAGGUACUUGUCAUGUUCUUCUCUAUUAUGUCUUUAUAUAGUUUCAUCAAAUGUUGAAAGACAAACUUGUAGUAAUAAAUGAAUCCCUUACCGUUCUUGAGAUACUCCUCUCCAUAUUCAUUGUAGACAGCUUUAAAGAAUUUGGUUGCUUCUACCUUUCGUUUAACGACAUCAUCUAUAUUUGUUUCUAUGCUCAAAGUCAGAAUAUACUCUUCAAGGUCUGCCCAUAUUCCUUGGUAGGUUUUUGCUCUCUGUGAAAACGUAGGAUAUGCAUGACACAUGAUCUCCCUUAUUUCUUCGUCUGUUAACAGUGAAGGAUGAUAGAAUAAUUACCGAAAUUUGUUCCUACAUGCAAGUGAGAAUGUAAAAACCAAGAUAAUAUGUUGAACUAUUAUUGUUUGUUUACGUUUUUUUAUAUUACUAAACACUUUAAAUGAAAGUGAUUAUGAUUACUGAAAUAUGCAAUUGUUAUGGCAAUUAACGUUCCUAGCUGACUCAGUUAUGUUUUGUUUACUUGCACAUUGUUAUCCACUCUUACUAGCAUCUGUAGGAAAUAUUUGAAUUCUCCAGGAUAAUCGUGUUCCUCUGGAUGCAGCUUCUCGGCCAAGCGAUAUAGGGAUUCUGGGUACAGAGUUUGAUACUCUUCAUGGUUCAAUGUGUACCUUCCUCCGGCAUUUACAACUAUGUUGUCAACGGUUAGUUUGCCUAUUAAGUUUCCAUUUCUCAUCAUGUUGAUACAGUUCCAAAUGGUGUCCUUGCAUUUGUUUUUAAGAGAUCAAAUAACACAGUCAACCAAAAUUGAUUGCAUAAUAUGUAGAUAAAUUAUGAGACUUGUAAUAGGGUAAUAGAAUGAUAUGUUAAUUCUUUAUUAUCUUAUAUAUGUUAUAGGUUCUUGUCCAGAGUGUAGUUUUUUUGUUUAUUGUUUUUGUUUUGUUGAUUUGGUGCAGAUGGUGGUGGUGAUGAUGAGAGAUGUGUGUGGGGUUGGACACAAGAAGGUCUCUUGAGGUUCUGCAGAACUCGUCUCUGAUUUUUGCAGAGGAGAGGAUUCCUAUGAAGGACCCUAUUGGCGAGUUUCAUAAGUACACUGGUGGUUAGAAAAUAUCAGCAAUGAUCAUGACUGGGCUGUGAGUUAUUGUAAUCUUUAUAUUAGUUGCAACAAUCAUUUGUUUAGUGCUAAUUUCAAUUUCACAUUAUUAAGUACUAGAUUGUGUAAUUAAAAAUCUUCCAGUUCUCAUCAACAAAGGCAUGCGUACAUUAUGAUUAUACAUCAAUUAUGUAAGGCGACCGUGAUUGUAAUGCACGUAUCUUCUGUAUGAUAUUGAAAACUACAACUAUUAUCCAACUUUGUCUUCUAUCUUCUGCCUAAGAUUGUAAUGCAAGUCUACUUUUUGUCUACAACAACAGCUAUCAAUGUAAUACGCAAUGAAAUGUGUAAUGCAAUAAGCAGCUAUCAAUGUAAUGCGCAAUGUAAAACAAAUUGUUUUGGAAGAAAGAACAAACAACAGCAACCGAAAGAUUGCAAGAAGAAGUUGGUUUGGUAGUGAUGCACAAUUUACAUCUAUCAAGGUAAUGCACAAUUAAUGUAAGGCCUCGAAAGCUAGUUGCAUACCUGUAUAGUUGGUACACAGCCCUUGGAACCUUGUUCUUCGCAACAAGGUUUUCUGCAAAUGAAUCAUAAUUCUCCGGAUGGGGAAUUAUGUCCUCUCUCAAUGUCAACUGUUUCAUAGAGUAAAUUAAAUCAAUACGUGAAGGUGUUAUAAUGAUAAUGAGAUCAUCUUGGUUAUUAGGAACCUACCAGUUCCCCUGUAAAGACAGGGCAUCCAUACUUGAAUAAAAGGUUCAGACAUGACAUUUUGCAAUAAAUUUUAAUGGGCAGCAUUUCUUGAUUGAUGAUAUGCUCAAUAGUUUUUAACUUCUUUGAAAAAAUAAACAUUACAAUAUUUCAUUCAGUUUUUUUGGAGUUCUGAAGCUUUAAUUAACAGACCAAAAGUGCCUUAUGUCUGAAGUGUGGUUGUUGCUCUCAAAUUGCUACUAGCCUCCUACUGCCCUUCAUCCAAUUGCUACUAGCGUAAUGGAAUUCUCAUCUUCGUUAAAUUCAAGAAAAAAAUUCAGUUUAUUACCCUGAACUUUAGGUCUAAAAUCAGUUUGAUACCUCAUCUUUUUUUUUAAUCAAUUUCAUACCUAAACUUUCAAAAUGACAUCAAUCUCGACCAAAAUGACUAAAAUAGCCCUGAUUAAUCUUUUUACCCUCUCUCUCCCUGCCUCCAAAUCCACCACAUGGCCGGCGCCGGCAUCCACCCCUACCACCAGCAAUGGGCCCCGGCGGCAGCCCCUCCUCCUCCCCCGGCCGUCGCCGCUGCCAUUCUUAACUCUGAGUGGGUAAAAAGAUUAACCAGGGCUAUUUUAGUCAUUUUAGUCGAGAUUGAUGUCAUUUUGAAAGUUUAGGUAUGAAACUGAUUAAAAAAAAGAUGAGGUAUCAAAAUGAUUUUAGACCUAAAGUUCAGGAUAGUAAAAUGAAAUUAUCUCUAAAUUCAAUGCUUUGCUCAAUCAUGAAUAUAUAUACCAAAAGAACUACUCUUGGGAACAUGACUUCUAUCAUUUCUACUAUCUCUCUCCGGUUGAAAAAAUAUACAAUUACAUUGGGUGGCACAUCUGCAGCAGCUUUGGCAACCAUAUAUUUCCUCUGCUCCGGGUUGUCAAUACCACAUGAUUCAUAAUCUUCAAUAACUUUUUCUUCAACCUUGUCUCUUUUUUUUAGGUACUUGUCACGUUCUUCUCUAUUAUGUCUUUAUAUAGUUUCAUUCAAAUGUUGAAAGACAAACCUGUAGUAAUAGAUGAAUCUCUUACCGUUCUUGAGGUACUCCUCUCCAUAUUCAUUGUAGACAACUUUGAAGAAUUUGGCUGCUUCUAUCUUUCGUUUAACGACAUCAUCUAUAUUUGUUUCUAUGCUCAAGGUCGGAAUAUAUUAUUCAAGGUCUGCCCAUAUUCCUUGGUAGGUUUUUGCUCUCUGUGAAAACAUAGGAUAUGCAUGGCACAUGAUCUCCUAUAUUUCUUUGUCUGUUAAUAGUGAAGGAUGAUAGUAUAAUUGCCGAAGUUUGUUCCUGCAUGCAAGUGAGAAUGUGAAAGCCAAGAUAAUAUAUUGAACUAUUAUUGUUUGUUUACGCUUUUUUAUAUUAUGCUAAACACUUUAAAUGAAAGUGAUUAUGAUUAUUGAAAUAUGCAAUUGUUAUGGCAAUUAACGUUCCUAGCUGACUCAGUUAUGUUUUGUUUACUUACACAUCGUUAUCCACUCUUACUAGCAUCUGUAGGAAAUGUUUGAAUUCUCCAGGAUAAUCGUGUUCCUCUGGAUGCAGCUUCUCGACCAAGCGAUAUAGGGAUUCUGGGUACAGAGUUUGAUACUCUUCAUGGUUCAAUGUGUACCUUCCUCCGGCAUUUACAACUAUAUUGUCAACGGUUAGUUUGCCUAUUAAGUUUCCAUUUCUCAUCAUGUUGACG
rnacentral:lncRNA from 1 species